GAGGAUACGAUGAAUACAAUAUAAUAUAAUAUACACACAGAGAGUGAUUUAAGGAAAUAUGAAAAUGAGAUAAUAGCUUAUUUGACUCAAUUCAAGAAUUACCAAUAGUAUCAGAAGUACAAAGUUACACGUGAUAAUUAGUAUACGAACUAUAAUACUACAGGAUUAGAAUAGCACAGAAUUUUGUUACCAAGAAAUAAGUACAAAUUCUGUUUUUGUACAAUGGACAUUAAUCCUAUAUUGCGAACCACGUUAUUUCUCUAAAAAAUCACGUGCGAUGAAACAAUAAUGCAUAAUAUGGAUUAUUCACUCGGGAUCACUUUGAAGAGUCUCACCAUUGGUCAGAACUAAUGCAUCAUCGUCAGCGUCGUUAUAAUCCAGAGAAAGAACACUCUCUCUUCUUUUCUUUUUAUGCGUCCUUUCGUCAUCACUGCUCGGUGCACUUUUGUCCCUUUUUGUCCUUUCCCUACCCCUAGUCGCUCUAGUCAAUACUUCAUCCCCGUUAGUUUUGCCACUGUAUUUAUCAUAACUCUUAGUCCUCAAUGUUUUUUUGUUAUUUCGAUUUUCCUCGUGAUCUUCUUCCCUAUCACUUAACUCUUCAUUUUCGACUUUAAUUAUUAAAGCAGCCGAAUCGCUCGAACUUUCGUCAUUCUGAUCUGUUUGAUUUGUUUUUCUGUCUAUUCGAUCUACUCCUCUUUCAAUACUUGCGCGCUCACUUUGAAGUAGUUUAUUAUUAUCUAGUAACGGUGAAGUUCUCGUAGUUUUACACAUAUCACUUCCUUCUGUUAACAGUUUCGAGCUCUUUACUUCUAUAGCUAUAUUAUCCUCUGUUUUUUCUUUUUUGAUUGAAGAUGUAUGGGGUGAUAAUCCGUUAGUUAAAUUUGUUGAAUUAUUCUCACCGGCAGCGCCGGUUAUUUUCAAUACCGUAUUUUCUUGUUGCAAUAAAAUAACCGACUCUCGUGCCUUACGUAAUUCUUGUUGCAAGAAAUAAAUUGUACUUUGCAUACCCUCCACAUCUUCAUCUAGGUCUUGAAGAAAUUCAUCUAACUCUAUUUAAUAUAACACGUGAAUGUGAAAUCUUGUAAUCCAAAUAAUUGUUUCGUUUUUUCUUUUUUUAUUUUAUAAUUAUCUGAAAUAUUUUACAAAAUGUUUUAUAAUAUAUACAUACCUGAUUGAGAUUUUUUAACUUCUUCGCUGAAACUUUUUUGUAAUGCAAGUUCACCCUCUAAUUUAGCAAUUCUACCACUGGCUAUCAUUCGACCCAAUUCCUCAUUUUCUUGAUAUAAUAAUCUACACUUGGCCAUUAACCUCUUUCCAGUGUUACUGGAAAAGUAUACAUGCAAUUAAUCAUAUAUUCAAAUAGAUAAUAAAUCUUUUUCAAACAUUGCAAAAUCAUAAUUAUUUACCUAUCUGGUGUGAAUUUCCAUGCGCUUAAUUCACUCUGUGUAUCUUCUAAUUUAGCUUUUGUUGUGACCAAUUCUUGCCUUAAUUUUUGUAUCAAAAUAUUUACAGCUGGAUCUAACAAAGCGGACCUUAAUGAAGCAGCAGAUGGAACUUGGGCUGCUUUCAUUUCAGAUAUUUGAUUCUGUUGGAUAAUAAUAUAAUGUUCCUGUUCUUUAGAGGCUAGCCUCCUCACUAAGAUUUUUUCACGAUGAGAUGCUUCAAUAUGCUGCUGUCUGAACUUGUCUUCUGAUUCUCUCAACGAAGCUAAUUCACCUAUAAAAUGGUAUCGUGUCAACUUUUGCUAUGUAUAUUUGUUAGACAUUUACUACCCUCUCGUUAUAUGUUUGACAUAUAUAUAUUUUUACAUCUUCAGAGUAAUAAUGUUGCUGUUUAAUAAAUUAAAACAUAGUAAAUUGUACUCUUUACAUGCGAGAAUUAAAUUAUUAUGCAAAUUAAAAUACUAUCUUAUAUCCCCUAUAGUACAUUUUAUAUCUUUAAUCUCAAAUAUUAUAUUUGUUUCAGUAUUGGCUUCCUAGUUCUUUAUUCUGUGUUAUUUAAUUUAUUCAUAUGUGUGUGCGUGUUGAUAAUGAUUUUAAUAAAAAUGAAUGUAAGAUAUAAAAUUAUUUAAAUUGUA